AUUGAACGCUGGCGGCGUGCCUAAUACAUGCAAGUCGAGCGAUGAAGCUCUAGCUUGCUAGAGUGGAUUAGUGGCGCACGGGUGAGUAAUGCAUAGGUUAUGUGCCCUUUAGUCUAGGAUAGCCAUUGGAAACGAUGAUUAAUACUGGAUACUCCCUACGGGGGAAAGUUUUUCGCUAAAGGAUCAGCCUAUGUCCUAUCAGCUUGUUGGUGAGGUAAUGGCUCACCAAGGCUAUGACGGGUAUCCGGCCUGAGAGGGUGAACGGACACACUGGAACUGAGACACGGUCCAGACUCCUACGGGAGGCAGCAGUAGGGAAUAUUGCUCAAUGGGGGAAACCCUGAAGCAGCAACGCCGCGUGGAGGAUGAAGGUUUUCGGAUUGUAAACUCCUUUUCUAAGAGAAGAUUAUGACGGUAUCUUAGGAAUAAGCACCGGCUAACUACGUGCCAGCCGCCGCAGUAA
rnacentral:rRNA from 1 species